CAGGUCUGGGACUUGAACCUCAGUUGGCCAUGUGGGAGUCCAGCGCCUUCACCACCACCCACCUGCUGGCCUGGCCCACGUGUUUCAUGAAGCAAUUGGCUAUGCAUGCAGCUGGGCCCAGGAGAUCUGUCCCAGCCCUGAACUUUCCCGCUCAGCGCUGGUGAACACAGUUCUUCCGGUCCUGACUCUGCUCUGAAGCAACUGUGCCCCUCCCUGGUCUGGCUCCUUCCCUAUCUCCCCUCAGGAGGAUCCUGCUAAGCUAGGUCAGAUCCGCACUGAAUGUUGCUCAGGAUCUUUUCCUUCCUGCAGAGCCCAGCCAAGUCCUUACAAGGUGCAGGAUCUGCCCCAUCCCGCCUUUGCCUCCCUGGCCUCCUAACCUCCACUCUGCUCCAGCCAGGCUGACCUUGCUGUCUUCCUCCACACGGGCCAACCUCACUCCUACCUCAGGGCCUUUGCACCUGCUAUUCCCUCUGCCUGACGGUUCUCCCUGGGAGCCUUGCAUCGCUCGCUCUUUCCAUCACGUCCCCAGUCCCUCUGGUUUUGCUCAACUGUCAUGUCCUUGAAAAAGGCCUCCCUGACCAUCUGGUCUAGAGCAGUCACUCCAUCACUCUCUUGCCUUAGCUUGUUUUGUUUUGUUUUGUUUUGUUGGCGGGACUUCACUUGUCCUGCUAUCAUAUUAGAGAUCCAUUUAUUUGCCUGCUUAAUGUUGGCUGUCAAGACAGCCGGAUGACCCACGCUGUGGCCUCCCCGCGGACUCAGAAUAGCAAGAGGCAAAAGGAGUUUCCUGAACCUCUUGUUUAUUUAUCGAGCGUAUCCCUCAGCCAAGCCAACAAUCCCAAAAAGGUUGCAGAAUAGGCCUGGAGGAUUUUCUCCAAAUUUGGGGAGCUCCACGGGGCUGCCUUCUGGCCAUGGGGUUCACAGCGGGGCUCAGCCCAUACUCAGCUGUGUGACCCCAGGCAAUCUACUCUACAUCUCUAAGCCAAGAUUCCCUCCACAGCGCAGGGAAAAGUCCUGGCGGGGUCGGGGUGAGGCGUAAAGGAGCUCAUGCAGGUGACACGCCUGUCCCAGUGCCUGACUCAGUGAGCCUCAGUGAAAGUUAAUUGCAAUUAGUGCUUUUAUCAGUUCAGCUUCUCGCUGUAUCUGUGAUCAGGACUAAGCCUCAGUUUUCUCACCCCCACGAAUGGAAAGAACACUUCCUUCCUCACAGGGCUGCUGUGUGCACUGAGGUCAGUGAUGAGAGGGAAGUCAUCCUCUGCAGGCUUACAAACAAUAGGUGCUCGCUAAAUGUCAGCUCUUCUACCGUCCACCCGGCUUCAGUGUACGCCAGGAUCACCUCCAUCUGAAUCUCUCCCAGACGCCUCUUUGCACCGUGAUCCAGAGGCAGGACCCCACCCCACCGAGGGCUGUGUUGGAACCUCUGCUUUCUCCCUUGCUAAUGGAACUGGCGCCGGAUCUGUUCAGGAGUCCAGGAGGUGUUUAGGAAGGUGACCGGUCCCCUUCCCAGAGAAUGAACCACCAUUGAUCUGCGCCAAUCAGAGAAUGCCCCCUGCUGGUCCUAUGUCUACAGGUGGCGCUUCCAGACAUCUGCUGGAAUCUUCUGGAAACUCUUCUCAUUCACCUCCAUUCUGCUCUGGGAGUGGGUGUUGUGUGAGGCUAUGACUGGGGGGGAGGGGUGCAGGGAACUGGCAGAGCCCUAGCCAGAGCUGCAGGGUAACCACCCCUGGAGCUACCCACCUCUGGGCUUGUUGUUUAAUGAGAUAAUCCAACAUCUGGGUUCAGACCCUGUGAGUCACAUUUUCUCCUACUUGCAGCCAGAAACAUUCCUCACUAAGAGCCUGCCGGUUAUGGCGGGGAAAGACUAAUUGGGAUAACAGCUUACCCGAAGCACCCCUCACAGCCCUGGCCCCCGGUGAGGCUCAGAAAUGUUGCCACGUCUUACUAUUUUGACUUUUUCUCAAGCAGGCUUUAGAUUUAUCAACUAACGGAGCAUCCCACUCUGGCUCUGGCACCUUGCAGCCACAGGCAGGCUCUGAAAAGUAGCAGAAAUUCCAAACUUCUCAGACCUAUGAGAGCCAAAAGGACCUUGCUUAGGGCUGGCUGGUCCAGCUGUAAGAAUGAAGAGGAGGAAGCCCCCAAGGGUGACCCCUCCAGCCCAUGGUGAAAAGGCUGGAUGGAAUACACAGAGCUGAGAGCUGAGUUCAAAUCCCCAUGCGUGUUUUCACGUGGUGGUGGCAGGAGUCGCCCACUGAAGCUCCAAGACUGGCCACUGAGCCUCCAUCUGGAACAUGAAGCCUACAUGUCAGAUGGACUCUCUGGAAAGUUCCCUCUCGCACUGACAAGCAUCGGGACGUCCCCCGUAGUAGUCUCAGUGUGUCCAGAUGUUCCUUGUCCAGUGAGAUGAGGCAGCUGGGAAACUCCCCUCCCUUCCAGCCUCUGUCUCUGGCUGCUGCAGGGUCAUGGCGGUAACAUCAAGACCAGCCCCACCAGAGCACCAGAGACUUGCCUGGGAAAGGGCGGCCCUUUCCACCCACCACCCUGAUCUCUGUCUUCCCGGGCUCAGGUCUGGUUCGUGUCUGUGCCCUAAACAAAAGCCACAAGUAAACUGUGUUAGCAAAGGAAAA